ACUGAACGCUGGCGGCAUGCCUUACACAUGCAAGUCGAACGGCAGCGGGGGAGAAGCUUGCUUUUCCUGCCGGCGAGUGGCGAACGGGUGAGUAAUACAUCGGAACGUGCCCUGUAGUGGGGGAUAACUAGUCGAAAGAUUAGCUAAUACCGCAUACGACCUGAGGGUGAAAGUGGGGGACCGCAAGGCCUCAUGCUAUAGGAGCGGCCGAUGUCUGAUUAGCUAGUUGGUGGGGUAAAGGCCUACCAAGGCGACGAUCAGUAGCUGGUCUGAGAGGACGAUCAGCCACACUGGGACCGAGACACGGCCCAGACUCCUACGGGAGGCAGCAGUGGGGAAUUUUGGAAAAUGGGCGAAAGCCUGAUCCAGCAAUGCCGCGUGUGUGAAGAAGGCCUUCGGGUUGUAAAGCACUUUUGUCCGGAAAGAAAUGGCUCUGGUUAAUACCUGGGGUCGAUGACGGUACCGGAAGAAUAAGGACCGGCUAACUACGUGCCAGCAGCCGCCGUAA
rnacentral:rRNA from 1 species